CAAAAUGGCUGCCACCGCUUUCUACAGAGGCCCAAAUGGGCCAAAAAUGCUCAGAUUCCCAGGCCACGGCAGUGAUUUCAGAGGCCGGCGAGGGGGAGGGGAACCCUCGCAGACACCACCACCCACGGCAUACAGGAAGCCCCCCCAAGGGCCUAAAGUUAACCAGGUGGCAGGACUAGAGGGCCCCAGAGGGGCUUUUGGGAAGAAGAAGAAGAAGAAGGAAUGCCCAGGUGAGGAAGGAGCAAUGGAGUCUAAAAGCUAAAAGCCAUGUGUGUAAAGCUCUCUAGUGGUACUACUAAAGGCAGAAGCAAACUUUAUACUUUGGCACUGGGACCAUACGGAAAAUAUGUUGCCAAGCUCAGCGGAAUCCAUUCUUUCAUGUGGAAAUCUGUACCCUGCACACUCUCUCAUAUAUAUAUACCUUUUGUGUAGACCAGGAA